GACAGAGGGUGCAAACGUUGCUCGGAAUUACUGGGCGUAAAGCGCGUGUAGGCGGAUAGAUAAGUCAGAUGUGAAAUCCCUGGGCUCAACCCAGGAACUGCAUUUGAAACUGCCUGUCUUGAGUAGUGGAGAGGGAAGCGGAAUUCCUGGUGUAGAGGUGAAAUUCGCAGAUAUCAGGAGGAACACCGGUGGCGAAGGCGACUUCCUGGACACCAACUGACGCUGAGGUGCGAAAGCGUGGGGAGCAAACAGG
rnacentral:rRNA from 1 species